UACAGAGGGGGCUAGCGUUGUUCGGAAUUACUGGGCGUAAAGGGCGCGUAGGUGGCCUGUUAAGUCGAACGUGAAAUCCCCGGGCUCAACCCCGGACUUGCAGUGGGUACGGGCAGACUAGAGUGUGGUAGGGGAGACUGGAAUUCCUGGUGUAGCGGUGAAAUGCGUAGAUAUCAGGAGGAAUACCGAUGGCGAAGGCAGGUCUCUGGGCUGACACUGACGCUCAUGCACGAAAGCGUGGGGAGCAAACAGGG
rnacentral:rRNA from 1 species